CCGGCGCACGGGUGAGUAACACGUAUGGAACCUGCCCUAUGCAGGGGGAUAAGCGGAAGAAAUUCCGUCUAAUACCGCAUAACACCUUUAGGAGACAUCUUCUUGGGGUCAAAGGAGGCGACUCCGGCAUAGGAUGGCCAUGCGUCGCAUUAGCUAGUCGGCGGGGUAACGGCCCACCGAGGCGACGAUGCGUAGGGGUUCUGAGAGGAAGGUCCCCCACACUGGGACUGAGACACGGCCCAGACUCCUACGGGAGGCAGCAG
rnacentral:rRNA from 1 species